rnacentral:rRNA from 1 species
GGCCGCAGUAUUUUAACUGUGCAAAGGUAGCAUAAUCAUUAGUCUUUUAAUUGAAGGCUUGUAUGAAUGGUUGGACGAGAUAUUAACUGUCUUAUUUUAAUUUUUUUUUGAAUUUAAUUUUUUAGUUAAAAAGCUAAAAUUUAUUUAAAAGACGAGAAGACCCUAUAAAUCUUUAUAUUAGAAUUAUUAUUAUUAUUUAGAUUUAUUUUAUAAUAAUAAUUAAUAAUAUUUUAUUGGGGUGAUAUUAAAAUUUAUAAAACUUUUAAUUUUUUGUUACAUUAAUUUAUGAAUAAAUGAUCCAUUUUUAAUGAUUAAAAAUACAAGUUACUUUAGGGAUAACAGCGUAAUUUUUUUGGAGAGUUCUUAUCAAUAAAAAAGAUUGCGACCUCGAUGUUGGAUU